GAUUUCGGAUGGUUGUAAUGGAGCUAAAAUAAUCUUCUUUUCAUUCACCUUAAAAGAAUAAGUAUGUUUGUAGCCGUCAUACAACACCCUUUUAUCAUAAUGCCAAUGUCUUCCCAACAGCAAAUGACAAGCAUUCAUAGGAGCAACAUCACACCAUACUUCAUCUUUAUAAUACUUGCCAAUAGAAAAUAAAACUAAACAUCUUUUAGUUACAUUGAUGUCAUUUCCUUUCUGCAGCCAACAUAACUGGUAUGGAUGUGGAUGAGGGAUGGUGUCCAACUUUAGCUUCUGUACCAUCUCCAAAGAUACCACAUUCUCAAAGCUGCCACUGUCGAUGAUCACCAAGCAUAUUUUGCCAAGAGAAGUGCAUUUAGUGUGAAACACAUUUUUUCUCACCCAACUUUCAUCGU
rnacentral:lncRNA from 1 species